UAAUCUCCCAUCCAUAAUUAAUCUUCCAAUAACUUCUCAUAUAAUUCAAUCACUCAGUACUCCAAUUACAUAAUCAAUAACUCAUAAAUCAAUCUCUGAUUUAUUCCACAGACUCACUUCUCAAUAUUCAGAAACUAUCCAUUAUUCUUCAACAAAAAAGAAAACAAAAGAAACAAAGAAGAAGCACCAAGCUUAACCUCGGCUCAUGACUAUCACAGUCUAGCAUUUUCUUUCUCUCUCCCAUCCUC
rnacentral:lncRNA from 1 species